UGGCUCAGUGGAUGAGAGCACUGGCUGUUCUUCCAGAGGACCUGGGUUCAAUUCCCAG
rnacentral:tRNA from 1 species